rnacentral:rRNA from 1 species
CUGGGUUUGACAUAUACCUGACUGCUGUGGAAACAUGGCUUCUCUUCGGAGCAGGUAAACAGGUGCUGCAUGGCUGUCGUCAGCUCGUGCCGUGAGGUGUUCGGUUAAGUCCGGCAACGAGCGCAACCCGUGUCACUAGUUGCCAUCAGGUAAUGCUGGGGACUCUAGUGAGACUGCCCGUGUCAAGCGGGAGGAAGGCGCGGAUGACGUCAAGUCCGUAUGGCCCUUAUAUCCAGGGCUGCACACGUGCUACAAUGGCUGGCACAGAGGGUAGCAAUACUGCGAAGUGGAGCAAAUCCUAAAAACCAGCCUUAGUUCGGAUUGGAGUCUGCAACUCGACUCCAUGAAGUUGGAAUCGCUAGUAAAGGCGUAUCAGCUACGACGCCUUGAAUACGUUCCC